UACGUAGGGGGCAAGCGUUGUCCGGAAUUAUUGGGCGUAAAGAGCGCGUAGGCGGUCCGAUAAGUCGGCUGUGAAAGUCAGGGGCUCAACCCUUGAAAGCCGGCCGAUACUGUCGGACUAGAGUCCGGAAGAGGCGAGUGGAAUUCCCGGUGUAGCGGUGAAAUGCGCAGAUAUCGGGAGGAACACCCGUGGCGAAGGCGGUUCUCUGGGACGGUACUGACGCUGAGACGCGAAAGCGUGGGGAGCGAACAGG
rnacentral:rRNA from 1 species